UACGUAGGUGGCAAGCGUUGUCCGGAUUUACUGGGCGUAAAGAGCGCGCAGGCGGUCGAUCAAGUCGAGUGUGAAAGCCCCCGGCUCAACUGGGGAGGGUCAUUCGAUACUGAUCGACUCGAAGGCAGGAGAGGGUAGUGGAAUUCCCGGUGUAGUGGUGAAAUGCGUAGAUAUCGGGAGGAACACCAGUGGCGAAGGCGACUACCUGGCCUGUUCUUGACGCUGAGGCGCGAAAGCUAGGGGAGCGAAUGGG
rnacentral:rRNA from 1 species